CUGGAUAUAGCUCACUGGUAGAGCAUGUGCUUAGUACACACAGAACCCUGGGUUCAAUUCCCAGCAUGUGGG
rnacentral:tRNA from 1 species